rnacentral:rRNA from 1 species
UUUCAGCUUGUUGGUGGGGUAAUGGCCUACCAAGGCGACGACGGGUAGCCGGCCUGAGAGGGCGACCGGCCACACUGGGACUGAGACACGGCCCAGACUCCUACGGGAGGCAGCAGUGGGGAAUAUUGCACAAUGGGCGAAAGCCUGAUGCAGCGACGCCGCGUGAGGGAUGACGGCCUUCGGGUUGUAAACCUCUUUCAGCAGGGAAGAAGCGUAAGUGACGGUACCUGCAGAAGAAGCGCCGGCUAACUACGUGCCAGCAGCCGCGGUAAUACGUAGGGCGCAAGCGUUGUCCGGAAUUAUUGGGCGUAAAGAGCUCGUAGGCGGUUUGUCGCGUCUGGUGUGAAAACUCAAGGCUCAACCUUGAGCUUGCAUCGGGUACGGGCAGACUAGAGUGCGGUAGGGGUGACUGGAAUUCCUGGUGUAGCGGUGGAAUGCGCAGAUAUCAGGAGGAACACCGAUGGCGAAGGCAGGUCACUGGGCCGCAACUGACGCUGAGGAGCGAAAGCAUGGGGAGCGAACAGGAUUAGAUACCCUGGUAGUCCAUGCCGUAAACGUUGGGCACUAGGUGUGGGGCUCAUUCCACGAGUUCC